CUUGAAUGGAUAAAGAUCACGUUUUUCUUCUUCUAAUGUUUGCAACAAUGUUUGUUCUUGCUUGAUGGAAUGAAGCUCUACCAUUUCUCUCUUUAGAUUUUCGUUUUGAAGGUUGAAUGCUUGAGUUUGAAGCCUCUUCUUUGCUUUUUCAUGGUGGUUUCUUUGAUGGAAGGGAGACCCAUUGUCCAUUUCGGUUUUCUCCUCAUUUUGCUGCAGUAAUCUCGUUUUUACUUUGAGUUUCUUGGAUUGGAGGAUGAAAAUGGAGUUGUUGUCAAGUUUGGUAGUGAAAAAGGCUUAAGUUGGUGCAUGGGUAUUGUAUUCUUGAGCCAUUUUCUUCUAGUNN
rnacentral:lncRNA from 1 species